GUUAGACAGACUUUGGUUGACCUCCUGGCCCUGCCACCUCCUGGCUAGGCAGCCUCAGGCGAGUCACUCAACAGCCUCAGCAAGCUGUUAAAGGGAUCUGAAAAACAAGCCUUAAAGAUGACAGCCACCUGCCAGCGUUCUUGGGAAGAGCAAAUGAGAUGAUGAUGACGAUGGUGGUGAUGAUGAUGAUGAUGCAGCCAGAAGACGGCCGUCUAUGGACCAGGAAGUGGUCCUCCCCAGACACCGAAUCUGCCAGCAUCUUGAUCUUGGACUUCCAGCCUCCAGAACCGUGAGAAAUAAACGUCAAGUCACUCAGUCUGUGGUAUUUCAUAUGGAGCCUGAACGAACUAAGACGCAUUGUAUAUAUAUACUACAUGUAUAUAAAAUAACCCAUACAAAUAUGUAACUACUGAAUCAUAUGGAAUUUUUAGUCUAUUCAGCUUUUUUUGUGUAUUAGUUUAUGAAGGCUUGUUCAUGUCCUUAAAUAUUCUUUGGAAACUUGAUUUUAAUGGCUAUAUAAUAUUCGUACAUGUGAAUAUACCAGACCUUGUUUCG
rnacentral:lncRNA from 1 species